CAGCAGCCGCGGGAAUACGUAGGGUGCGAGCGUUAAUCGGAAUUACUGGGCGUAAAGCGUGCGCAGGCGGUUCGUUAAGACAGAUGUGAAAUCCCCGGGCUUAACCUGGGAACUGCAUUUGUGACUGACGGGCUAGAGUAUGGCAGAGGGGGGUAGAAUUCCACGUGUAGCAGUGAAAUGCGUAGAGAUGUGGAUGAAUACCGAUGGCGAAGGCAGCCCCCUGGGCCAAUACUGACGCUCAUGCACGAAAGCGUGGGGAGCAAACAGGAUUAGAUACCCGCGUAGUCCCUGUCUCUUAUAC
rnacentral:rRNA from 1 species